rnacentral:lncRNA from 1 species
GACUGGGGACACGGGAGAGCGACUGCAUAAUUCUCUUCACACAGUCCCUGCUUUUUUUUAUAUGAACUAAAGGCAGUUAAGGCAGACAGACAGGGACUCAACAGGCAGACAGACAGGGACUCAGCAGACAGACACGGACUCAGCAGACAGGGACUCAGCAGACAGACAGACAGCAGACAGACAGGGACUCAACAGACAGACAGACAGACAGACAGACAGCAGACAGACAGGGACUCAUCAGACAGACAGACAGCGCUCAGCAGACAGACAGGGACUCAACAGACAGACAGACAGACAGGGACUCAGCAGACAGACAGGGACUCAGUAGACAGACAGACAGGGACUCAGCAGACAGACAGACAGGGACUCAGCAGACAGACAGACAGACAGGCAGACAAGACAGACAGACAGACAGACAGACAGACAGACACAGACUCAACAGACAGACAGCAGACAGACAGGACAGACAGACAGUGACUCAGCAGACAGACAGACAGACAGGGACUCAGCAGACAGACAGGGACUCAGCAGACAGACAGACAGGGACUCAGCAGACAGACAGACAGACAAGGACUCAGCAGACAGACAGACAGGGACUCAGCAGACAGACAGACAGGGACUCAGCAGAGAGACAGACAGCAGACAGACAGACAGGGACUCAGCAGGCAGACAGACAGGGACUCAGCAGACAGACAGGGACUCAGCAGACAGACAGACUCAGCAGACAGACAGGGACUCAGCAGACAGACAGACAGGGACUCAGCAGACAGACAGGGACUCAACAGAGAGACAGACACGGACUCAGCAGACAGACAGGGACUCAACAGAGAGACAGACACGGACUCAGCAGACAGACAGACAGACAGGGACUCAGCAGACAGACAGACAGGGACUCAGCAGACAGACAGACAGCAGACAGACAGACAGCAGACAGACAGAGACUGAGCAGACAGACAGACAGGGACUCAGCAGACAGACAGACAGCAGACAGACAGACAGCAGACAGACAGAGACUGAGCAGACAGACAGGGACUCAGCAGAACAGACAGACAGGGACUCAGCAGACAGACAGUGACUCAGCAGACAGACAGACAGAUAGUGACUCAGCAGACAGACAGAGCCUCAGCAGGCAGACACGGA